CCCUUAGAUGUUCUGGGCCGCACGCGCGCUACACUGAUCGAUUCAACGAGUUUUAUAAUAUUUUUGUUAAAAAUUUAUAUAUCCUUUGUCGGAAGGCAUGGGUAAUCUUUUAAAUGUCGAUCGUGAUGGGGCUAGAUUCUUGCAAUUAUUAAUCUCCAACGAGGAAUUCCUAGUAAACGCAAGUCAUCAGCUUGCAUUGAUUACGUCCCUGCCCUUUGUACACACCGCCCGUCGCUCCUACCGAUGAAUGGUCCGAUGAAGUACAUGGAGCUGUGCAAAGUAAAACUAGCUUGCUAGUUCCUUUGAAUGCAGCAAAGUGGGCUGAAUCUUGUCAUUUAGAGGAAGGAGAAGUCGUAACA
rnacentral:rRNA from 1 species